AGUUUGAUCCUGGCUCAGGAUGAACGCUAGCGGGAGGCCUAACACAUGCAAGCCGAGCGGUAUUGUUUCUUCGGAAAUGAGAGAGCGGCGUACGGGUGCGGAACACGUGUGCAACCUGCCUUUAUCUGGGGGAUAGCCUUUCGAAAGGAAGAUUAAUACUCCAUAAUAUAUUGAACGGCAUCGUUUGAUAUUGAAAGCUCCGGCGGAUAGAGAUGGGCACGCGCAAGAUUAGCUAGUUGGUGAGGUAACGGCUCACCAAGGCGAUGAUCUUUAGGGGGCCUGAGAGGGUGAUCCCCCACACUGGUACUGAGACACGGACCAGACUCCUACGGGAGGCAGCAGUGAGGAAUAUUGGUCAAUGGGUGCAAGCCUGAACCAGCCAUCCCGCGUGAAGGACGACUGCCCUAUGGGUUGUAAACUUCUUUUGUAUAGGGAUAAACCUACCCU
rnacentral:rRNA from 1 species